rnacentral:piRNA from 1 species
UACUCCACGUAUUUCUUGUCUCUCAAU